GAUGAACGCUGGCGGCGUGCCUAAUACAUGCAAGUCGAGCGAACAGAUGAGGAGCUUGCUCCUCUGACGUUAGCGGCGGACGGGUGAGUAACACGUGGAUAACCUACCUAUAAGACUGGGAUAACUUCGGGAAACCGGAGCUAAUACCGGAUAAUAUAUUGAACCGCAUGGUUCAAUAGUGAAAGACGGUUUUGCUGUCACUUAUAGAUGGAUCCGCGCCGCAUUAGCUAGUUGGUAAGGUAACGGCUUACCAAGGCAACGAUGCGUAGCCGACCUGAGAGGGUGAUCGGCCACACUGGAACUGAGACACGGUCCAAACUCCUAAGGGAGGCAGCAGUAGGGAAUCUUCCGCAAUGGGCGAAAGCCUGACGGAGCAACGCCGCGUGAGUGAUGAAGGUCUUCGGAUCGUAAAACUCUGUUAUGAGGGAAGAACAAAUGUGUAAGUAACUAUGCACGUCUUGACGGUACCUAAUCAGAAAGCCACGGCUAACUACGUG
rnacentral:rRNA from 1 species